AGGACGAACGCUGGCGGCGUGCCUAACACAUGCAAGUGGAGCGACGAACCAGGCUUCGGCCUGGGGCAAAGCCGCGAACGGGUGAGUAACACGUGGGUAACCUGCCUCGAUGAUUGGGACAACCCGAGGAAACUCGGGCUAAUACCGAAUGUGCCCUCCGGCCAUAAGGCUGCUGGGGAAAGGAAGCUUCGGCCUCCGCAUCGAGAUGGGCCCGCGGCCCAUUAGCUUGUUGGUGAGGUAACGGCUCACCAAGGCGACGAUGGGUAGCUGGUCUGAGAGGACGAUCAGCCACACUGGGACUGAGACACGGCCCAGACUCCUACGGGAGGCAGCAGUGGGGAAUCUUGCGCAAUGCGCGAAAGCGUGACGCAGCAACGCCGCGUGGGGGAAGACGGCCUUCGGUUGUAACCCUUUAGUACGGGUAAGAAGCGAAAGUGACGGUACCUGCAGAAAAGCACCGGCUAACUACGUGCCAGCAGCCGC
rnacentral:rRNA from 1 species